AGGAGGCCGGGGCAGUGCCCGCCUCAGCGAGCGGGCGGCGUCGCUGAGGGAGGCGGCAGGCCGGGAGGAUGGCCGCGGUUCGGUGCCUGUGGGGAGCGCCCUCUCCUUCCCCAGUCCCUUCGGGCCGUUCAGACCUUCCCCGGCGGGUAGGGCCGUCCUGGCUGGGGGGUGAAUGAAGGUGAAGGGCCCCACUGGCGAGUUGAGUACGGUGGGGUGCGAGACCCCUGUGCUUUCUGCAACCCCUCAGAGAGCAGGGCUGUGCUCCUCACGCACCGCUUUACCACAGGCCCGUCCCCCCCCGAAAAAUUCGCCUGGACCUUGGGCUGAAGACAUCAGAGGGUGGCUCGCCAACACACCUCCUCCAUCUUCUCGCCAGCGCUCUCUCAGCACGUCCUCUCUGCUCGGGUUUGCCAUGGCACCCUGAGGCACACUCUGCUUCCCUCCAGGGUCCCUCCUGCCCUGCCUCAGCCUGCCUUGGGCCUCCCUCCCCUCUCCACAGGUCGUAGCUCAGUGGGAUGCCCCACAGCAAGGCCCCCUGGUUUGGAGGCACAAGUCACCUUCCCUGAGGUUUCUUUGUUUUAUUAGUUGAUUAUUUUUUUAAGGAACAAAAUGGGCCGCUGCCAUAAUCUCCUCUGAUCUCGAGCAGUUCUAGAAGCUGGAAUAAGACUCGAGAAUUCUCUCCAGCCAUCACUUAUCAUCAGUCUACUUGGAAGCCUUUCUGUUGGAGAUUAUUCUUAUGCAAGCAGUGUUAUCAAGAAGUGAGGCUGCUGCUCAGUUCCUAAUCUUUUGGCUGGCAAGCAUGCAGACUGCGCUAUUGGCUUACUGACUCAGAGAUGGGCAACAGGGUGGUAAUAAAAACAAUAGCAGGAUUAUCCUUAUCUUACCUCCAACAC